AACGAACGCUGGCGGCAUGCCUAACACAUGCAAGUCGAACGAGAUCUUCGGGUCUAGUGGCGCACGGGUGCGUAACGCGUGGGAAUCUGCCCUUUGGUUCGGAAUAACAGUUGGAAACGACUGCUAAUACCGGAUGAUGACGAAAGUCCAAAGAUUUAUCGCCAGAGGAUGAGCCCGCGUAGGAUUAGCUAGUUGGUGUGGUAAAGGCGCACCGAGGCGACGAUCCUUAGCUGGUCUGAGAGGAUGAUCAGCCACACUGGGACUGAGACACGGCCCAGACUCCUACGGGAGGCAGCAGUGGGGAAUAUUGGACAAUGGGCGAAAGCCUGAUCCAGCAAUGCCGCGUGAGUGAUGGAGGCCUUAGGGUUGUAAAGCUCUUUUACCCGGGAUGAUAAUGACAGUACCGGGAGAAUAAGCUCCGGCUAACUCCGUGCCAGCAGCCGCCGUAA
rnacentral:rRNA from 1 species